rnacentral:rRNA from 1 species
AUUGAACGCGGGCGGCAUGCUUUACACAUGCAAGUCGAACGGUAACAGGGAGCUUGCUCCGCUGACGAGUGGCGAACGGGUGAGUAAUAUAUCGGAACGUGGCCAAGAGUGGGGGAUAACGUAGCGGAAGUUACUCUAAUACCGCAUACGAGCCUAGGAUGAAAGCAGGGGACCUGCGGGCCUUGUGCUCCUGGAGCGGCCGAUAUCUGAUUAGCUAGUUGGCGAGGUAAAGGCUCACCAAGGCGACGAUCAGUAGCUGGUCUGAGAGGACGACCAGCCACACUGGAACUGAGACACGGUCCAGACUCCUACGGGAGGCAGCAGUGGGGAAUUUUGGACAAUGGGGGCAACCCUGAUCCAGCAAUGCCGCGUGAGUGAAGAAGGCCUUCGGGUUGUAAAGCUCUUUUGUCAGGGAAGAAAAGGGUACGGCUAAUAUCCGUGCCUCAUGACGGUACCUGAAGAAUAAGCACCGGCUAACUACGUGCCAGCCGCCGCCGUAA